rnacentral:rRNA from 1 species
GAUGAACGCUGGCGGCGUGCCUAAUACAUGCAAGUCGAGCGAACAGACGAGGAGCUUGCUCCUCUGACGUUAGCGGCGGACGGGUGAGUAACACGUGGAUAACCUACCUAUAAGACUGGGAUAACUUCGGGAAACCGGAGCUAAUACCGGAUAAUAUAUUGAACCGCAUGGGUCAAUAGUGAAAGACGGUUUUGCUGUCACUUAUAGAUGGAUCCGCGCCGCAUUAGCUAGUUGGUAAGGUAACGGCUUACCAAGGCAACGAUGCGUAGCCGACCUGAGAGGGGGAUCGGCCACACUGGAGCGGAGACACGGUCCAGACUCCUACGGUAGGCAGCAGUAGGGAAUCUUCCGCAAUGGGCGAAAGCCUGACGGAGCAACGCCGCGUGAGUGAUGAAGGUCUUCGGAUCGUAAAACUCUGUUAUUAGGGAAGAACAAAUGUGUAAGUAACUAUGCACGUCUUGACGGUACCUAAUCAGAAAGCCACGGCUAACUACGUG